GAACCCGGGACCGUAGCACGGAAACGGCCCGGGGCUGAGCAGGAGUCAGAUCCCGGGAUGGAGGGAGCCGGAGAAGAGGAGUGAGGAGGCCGGGGAGGCAGGCCCUGCUGCCCUCCUGCAGGCCGGCAGCCUGCUGUGGCAGUGCAGGACCAGGCCGCCCACAAAGGGAAGGGGUCAGGAGGUCGGGCCUCCGCCUUAGCAGGCUCAGACCAGGCCCCAGAAGGCAGCAGCAGGAGUUCAGGGCCCAGGCCUGGCUCGGGUUGUCCAAAGGGGCCCUCAAGCAGGCCUCCCAGGCCCCUGGUGGGGAAACUGAGCUGGAGACAGGCCUGAGGGCCCCGCCCAGACGCCUGUGUGUCAAGUUAGGCAGAGCCGGCUAAGGCCCUAGGGCGUGUCAGAGACUAAUGUGGUAGGGGGCUUCAGGGCCUCCCAGUCCAGAGCCGGAUUGGCGAGUUAGACGCUUGUAGAUCCAGGGUUGGAUUGGGGAGGGGUCUCUGGGAAGUUGGCUAGCAACGCAAGGAUUGGGGGGAUUUAAGUGCUUAGAGAUCGAAGGCAGGUCUUGGGUAGGGGGAGUCAGACAAUCGGAAAGCCUAGGUGGUUAUUUGGGGAGGGGUCUUUGCACUUAGACGAAGCGCAGAGCAGCGGCUGCUCAGCUGAAGGCCUGAGGCCUCGUCCAGAGAAGCUCCUGUGACGGGUGGGCUAGACUAGGCCAGGCCAAGAGAAAGAAAGUGAAUAAAUCUGGAAUCGAAGUGGGCGGGGGGCCCCUGAGCGGGGGUCACAAAGGGUGAGACAUGGCCACCAGGCGUUUAACGGACGCUUUCUUGUUGUUGCGGAAUAAUUCCAUCCAAAACCGGCAGCUGUUAGCCGAGCAAGUGAGUAGUCACACCACCUGCAGCCCUCUGCAUUCACGUAGUAUCGCUGCGCUUGCUGAUGAUCGCAUGGCUCUGGUGUCGGGCAUUAGCUUAGACCCAGAAGCAGCAAUUGGCGUGACAAAGCGGUUACCUCCUAAAUGGGUGGAUGGAGUGGAUGAAAUACAGUACGAUGUUGGCCGGAUUAAACAGAAGAUGAAGGAGUUAGCCAGCCUUCAUGACCAGCACUUAAACAGACCCACCCUGGAUGACAGCCUCGAGCAGGAGCAUGCCAUCGAAAUAACCACCCAAGAGAUCACGCAGCUCUUCCACAGGUGCCAGCGUGCAGUGCAGGCACUGCCCAGCCAGGCCCGCAGGGCCUGCUCGGAGCAGGAAGAGCGGCUGCUUCGCAACGUGGUGGGCUCCCUGGCGCAGACUCUGCAGGAGCUGUCCGCCCGCUUCCGGCGCGCGCAGUCGGGCUACCUCAAGCGCCUGAAGAAUCGAGAGGAAAGAUCCCAGCAUUUUUUUGAUACAUCAGUACCACUGAUGGACGAUGGAGACGAUAAUACUCUUUAUGAUCGGGGUUUCACAGAUGACCAGUUGGCGCUGGUGGGGCAGAGCACGCUGAUGGUGGACGCGCGGGAGCGGGAGGUUGGCCGCAUCGUGCAGUCUAUUUGCGACCUAAACGAGAUAUUUAGGGACCUAGGGGCCAUGAUUGCAGAACAGGGUACCGUCCUUGAUAGAAUCGACUAUAAUGUUGAACAGUCCUGUAUCAAAACUGAAGAUGGCUUGAAACAGCUUCACAAGGCACGGCUGGCCGUUGCCUUGGCGGUCAGCUCAUCUGAGGCUGACGGAGCCUUGGAAGCUGCUUCACACGGGCCAGGCUCUCCAGACGGGUGAACCUGUCUGCGCUGAGGUUUCCUCCUGUGGCUGAGUGGCUCCUGGUGGGCGGGCAGGCUCGCUUAGGAAACAGACGUCCUGGUCAGAAGGUUGGUGGGGACGGGGAAGUAGGGUAGAGGAGGCUGCACGUUCUGAGCAGGUACGGCCCUCAGGCUGUCUCCUUGCUUUUCACCUUCACUGUGAAGCAGCGCUGUCCACGGAAGGUCAGGACGUGCUCUCCCCGACGUGGACAGGGACCCCCUCACGACUCUCUUCUCCCCUCUCCUUUCUGUGGGUCACAUUCUGCACCACGGGCGUGCGUGUCACCGGACGCACAGCACUGGACUCGGUGGGUUGUUUCUGCGCUUGACACCACAGGGCCAACUUUCCUGUUUCUACUUCAAAGGUUGAAUUUCUUCUUGUUCCCAAAUUCAGAGGAGGUAGAAAACAAGCUUCUUUGGGACCCUCGGUUCCAUCCCUGCUGGCUGUGGUAACUUUAGCCAGGUGUUCGAUUUCUUAGUGAAGGAGCUGUGCGUUCAUCCAGAGAACUGUGUCCGGAAGCGAGAGGCUUCUGUUGAAAGAGUGGGUCCUUGCGGUCAGUGGAAGGAGAAGUAAGGAGAAGCGGCCCACAGGGAUCUGAAAGCAGAGCCUUCUGCCUCUCCGGCGGCCUCCGUGUGAUGGCGGGUCCCCAGCGCGGGCGUUAGCGAAGCCGGGCAGAGCAGUAUCAAAAGAAGAAUCGGAAGAUGCUUGUGAUUUUAAUAUUAUUUGUCAUCAUCAUUGUCCUCAUUGUUGUCCUCGUCGGCGUGAAGUCGCACUGAGCAGCGUGGGGUCGGUGUGUGAGGCCCGCGUGGACCCGGGUGCGCGCGCCCGGCGCCCGCGGGUUCCUGCGGAGGCGCGGCCCCGGGCCCGUCGGGGCCACGAGCGUUUCCAUGGACUCGGCCGCACAGUCGUGCUCACGCGAGGGGAAGGGGCUUCUGGUUUUCCUUCACUGUCAACACUUGAAGGACCUUGGAUACUGCUGCAGAUUAGAGAUGAGUUCUCUCUUCAGUUAUAAUAUAUAUUUUUUUUAGAAAGAGAAAACGAGUUGAAGGUUCACAGGCCUCCUCACGCUGUUCAAUAUAUUAUAUCUGUAUGUGCUAUUUUUUUUAGCAGUCACGUCUGAGCAGCAUGUUAAAAUAAUUUUUGGAAAAAUUUUUUUUAAACCAUCUGGUUUUUAAGAAAUUUGGUACCAAAAAUUUAUGAGUAAAGGCAAAAAUGCCUCUUCAUUUUUCUCUAUAUAUUUCCAGUUGAAAACAAACUGAGAAGUCCUUUAAGAAUUUAUAAUCCAUUCCCCAUUAACUUAAUUUAGCUUUUCCAUCACUGUUAAUGAUCAGAGUAACAAAGUGUGAAAAAUAAGAAACCAUCAUUGAUGUUGAUUAACACAUUUAGAUGGGCCAGUUAAAACAGCUUUAUAAGUUUAAAUUAAUUGUAAAUGGAGUAUUCCUCAUCUAAAAUUUGUGCACUGCAUGUUCUCCUGUAACCAAAAGGGGUUACUAAGCAAAACCGCCUAAAUUUAAAAGUUGGUGAUUUGAAAUAACCUCACAUUGAGAGGAAGCCCGGUAGUGUUGUGAAAGUCGCCAGAAGCAGCCGGUGUGUCCCUGUGCUCGUCCCCAGCCAUCCUUGUUCAAUGCACUGCUUAUGUACUCACUACUUAAUGACCUGUUCAAACCAGACACCAUUUAAUGAACUGUGAAUUUACACAGAGGCCAUUCUAAAUGGGUCACCCCAUAUAGGAUUAGUGGGUCUCAAAUUAUUAACCACACAUCACUCCAUUUCAAAGUAAAAUAUUCCACCAGUGGUUUGAUUUAUUGGCCCUUCCAUUGCCACUUACCAUGCCCAGAAAGUGGGCCUAUUCUUGCAAUUUGUGAAAAUCUUGCCUAGAAAAGCCCCUCGUUUGUGUGCGCGUGAAUCAGAUCGCCAACGUAGGACUUCGUUGUUUACUUACCUAUUAUCAAUAUGGUGCUUGAAUAUAUCCCUGGACCUGUGGAAUAAUGUGGAAAGUGAUGAUAACUUUGAAAACUGAAGUUGUUCAUGUUUUAAUUGGUCUUGAGACACCAGUAUUGUUUUAAUGGUUUUUGCAUCAUUUUCAAUGGCUUUCCAUGAUUUUUAGCUUUCUUAAAAUGUUUUAAAAGAGCAUGAUCUCAUUAAAUGUGCUGCCGUUUAUUUGGACCAGUCACAUAAAAUGUCUCUCUAGGAUUGACUUUGAAGUUAUUUCCAGAAAUUGGAACUCAAGUCCCGAGAUUCAAGUUGUCCAAACAGAUCAUGGGCUUAAAACCCAGACCCCUGCCCCAGCCUUCCCUUCCCAAGUGGUUUACGACGCCGGGCGGUCACUGGUUUCCUUAUUACCGAUGUGGCCGUAGGAGGAUCUAAAGGUGCCCCUGGCAUUUCAGGAAAUAGCACGGCAUUCCCUGACAGUUAUUUAUUGGGAAAGAAGGUCAGGGGAUAAGAGGCCAGCCCCUCCUCGAUCGCCCCUGAAACGGGGGGCUUCUGCGGUCCUCGAGAGUAGCUGUAGGCGUCUUUCGUCUCAACGGUUUUGACCUCAUGGAGUCAAGCUGCUGCUAGGAGUGGGGCUGUCGAGAUGAGGGGCUUCCCUCCCAGACAGUCUGCGAUGGUGAUAUGGGUUACUGCUGAAGCUUUUCAAGUUUGAAGGAAAGUGACCCAUUAAGAAAGGAUCACUGUUCAUUUGUAUUUAUUUUCAGUGAAUAGGGUGACUAGAGUUGGGUUUUUUACCCAACUCAUUUGGGUAAAAGUAUGAAUCUGACUAGGAAUGGUUUGAAGGAUCCUGUGUGGGAUCCGGGCAGCUGACCGGAUCCAGUGCAGUGCCAGCUAAAGCCCAGCCGUCUGCUGCCACCACUGUGGCCCAAGGUGGGGAAGUGGCCCUGAGCCCACGCACCGCAAAGCACUGUACUGCUCUGCUGAGCCUUCACUUGCGGAAAGCGCGGCAGCGUUGCGGGUAGCAGGUUAGUACUCAGCAUCCCGGCACCUGAGGGUCCUUCUCGCCCUCCUUUUCCUGCCGGCAGCUCCGGUGGCGGUGAUGGCCUAACCAGUUUCUCCCCUCGCCUGGAGUGCGCCCCGAGAAGAGGACCCACAGGGAGGGCUCCCCUGGGCGCAGCCCGGACCCCUGCCCCCUGUAACGUGCCCUGGGUGGCUCUGUUGACCAGGGCUGGAGAGGGGAAACGUAGACAUUGACUGGUAGCUCCCCAAAGCUCCUGAUCUUUCCCGGGAGAUCGUAACUGAAAGCUACUGUCUCUUGUUUUAUCAAUUUGGGGUUGCGGGGAGGUGCUGGCUCGCCCACCAUGGGUGUGAAGCCGCAUAAGUCUCUAAUUUAACGAAUUUACUGCAUUCUCUGCUAACUGAGAAAGCAUUAUUUAUUUGUUUUGACACAAGCGCUUUCAGUGUUUUAUCCUGGCUAAUGGCUUCUUAAAGGUAAUAAAACCCUUCCAACCUAAUUGGUCAGAUAAGACUUUUUUCUUGUGUGCUUAAAUAAAGCAAUUAGUGAAGCGCUUCUAUCUAAAAUGACUUUUUUUGUCCUUUUUUUAAAACUAAUUUACUGUUACUGGAAACUUUUUGUACAAUAAAGCAGUCGUGCAGAUUAAAGAA